rnacentral:lncRNA from 1 species
GUGAAGCCCCUCGAAGAGGUCUGUCUCUGUUUCCCUCCCUUCUUCCUGCUCUUCUCCGGGUGUCCCCAGUCACCCUCUUCCCCUUUCUGACAGAGGCCUUCCGGGUGCCAAAACAUGUAGUGUUUGGAGCUGCAACGGGGCAGCAGGGGCAACUCCUGGGGAGGUCUCGUGCCAGUCCAGGAUUCUGGUCCGGAAGGCUAUGCUUUCUGCCCUGUAAUCCAAGGUGGUCUUUGGGCCUAGCUUUACUGGAGCAAUUUUAAAAUCUGGUCUCAUAUUGUGGCACCUUCCGUCUGAGUGUCCAGUGAGAGAAGGCUGUAGUAGGUGAGAAUACUGUCUAGGUCAAAACAGCCAAGAGCGAUUUCCCACUGUCUCUCAGUGCCUGAUGAAAGGUCUGUGAAGAAUUGUGCUGGGAUUUUGAUGGGGAUUGCAUUGAAUCUGUAGAUUGCCAUUGACAGAAAAGAAAGAAGGAAGGAAGGAAGAAAGGAAAAUAGGAAAGAAGGAAGGAAGAAGAGAGAAGGAAAGAUGGCUCACAGCCCUGAUUGCUGGGAACAAGGAAAAUUUUUCUGUGUGAAAUGAGACUCUGA